GCACUGUUAACCUGCAAGGGGCUCCGGAAAGUAGCGAUCCUAACUGCAAAAAACUAGAAGAUGCCAACUACGUUUACUCGGCCUGUACAUUUAUCUGUGAAGGUGACGAAAUAAUAGUAUUACAAAAGGGCGAGAAAUGUUAUCUGCAGAAAGGAAAAGGCAUGCAACCGAAUAAAAACAGCAAUGGAGCCACAGGAAAGUGUGUGGAUGGAAAAUGCAUUACAACAUAACUUUGAAAGUGUAAUGCUUCAUAAAGGCAUUUGUAGCCUAAUCUAUUACUACGAAUGCCAAAUUUCAUGUGCGACUAUUUUUCUGAAAACGAGAUGCUAGAAAUAUAGAAUGAAUGAUUACUCCUGAUUAUGAAAUAAAUUAAAAUAAAUGAGGGUGGCUCCUACAACAAAAAGGC